UACGGGGGGGAGCAAGCGUUGUUCGGAUUUACUGGGCGUAAAGGGCGCGUAGGCGGCAUGACAAGUCACUUGUGAAAUCUCCGGGCUUAACUCGGAACGGUCAAGUGAUACUGUCGCGCUAGAGUGCGGAAGGGGCAAUCAGAAUUCUUGGUGUAGCGGUGAAAUGCGUAGAUAUCAAGAGGAAUACCUGAGGUGAAGACGGGUUGCUAGGCCGACACUGACGCUGAAGCGCGAAAGCCAGGGGAGCAAACGGG
rnacentral:rRNA from 1 species